rnacentral:tRNA from 1 species
CGCACCCCUGAUAAGGGUGAGGUCCCUGGUUCGAGUCCAGGAUGGCCCACCUGAACAAGUAAAAAGAGCAAAGUAAAAAGUAAAAAGAAAGUGUAAAUUCUUUUGAAUUUUUCCUUUAAACUUUUACCUUGUGGAUGGGGGUUUAGCUCAGUUGGUAGAGCGCCUGCUUUGCAAGCAGGAUGUCAGCGGUUCGAGUCCGCUAACCUCCACAUGAUAUCUGUUGUGACAGCAGCAAAAGUGAAUAUAUCACAGGUAAAAAUUAGCCAAAAGUGAUAGAGUGAGUAGUUUUUGUGUUCAUAGCAGAGAAUGUGGUAAGAUAAGAGAUUGUGGGUAAAUUCAGCAAUUGACGUCAAAAAGAGUCAAACUGCUGGAAAUAGUCCAGCCAGAACCUUGAAAACUGCAUAGUAACGCGAAAAAUAGCAGGCAGACGAAAUUUCAAGUAAUGAGUGCUGAGUGCUGAGUGCUAAGUGUAAAACACAAAGGCUCCCAUGAAAGUAGUCAGGAAAGAGAAAGAGUUUGCAGAUGUGAAACCAAAUGUAUUGU